CGAACGCUGGCGGCAGGCCUAACACAUGCAAGUCGAGCGGAUGAGAGGAGCUUGCUCCUCGAUUCAGCGGCGGACGGGUGAGUAAUGCCUAGGAAUCUGCCUAGUAGUGGGGGACAACGUUUCGAAAGGAACGCUAAUACCGCAUACGUCCUACGGGAGAAAGUGGGGGAUCUUCGGACCUCACGCUAUUAGAUGAGCCUAGGUCGGAUUAGCUAGUUGGUAGGGUAAAGGCCUACCAAGGCGACGAUCCGUAACUGGUCUGAGAGGAUGAUCAGUCACACUGGAACUGAGACACGGUCCACG
rnacentral:rRNA from 1 species